rnacentral:rRNA from 1 species
CCGCAACGAGCGCAACCCUGCAUCCAGUUGCCAUCGGGCGAGCCGGGCACUCUGGAGGGACUGCCGGCGACAAGCCGGAGGAAGGUGGGGAUGACGUCAAGUCAUCAUGGCCCUUACGUCCAGGGCGACACACGUGCUACAAUGGCCGGCACAGCGGGAAGCGGAGGGGCGACCCUGAGCGGAUCCCUUGAAAGCCGGUCCCAGUUCGGAUUGCAGUCUGCAACUCGACUGCAUGAAGUUGGAAUCGCUAGUAAUCGCGGAUCAGCCAAGCCGCGGUGAAUACGUUCCCGGGCCUU